CAGGAACUCAGAGAGGCUGGGUUUUGAGCGCUUGGGCCUAUGGAAAGAGAAAAUUUAAACUCCAUUCUUUUGAAAAAGCCAAGAAAGUGACACAAGGUCUGUGACAUUGGCAGACGGUUCUGGUAAUCUUUCUGAGUGCACAGACCUGCAGACAAGGUAAUGCGUGACUGCAGUCCUCUUCACUGGUCCGUUACGGCUGAAGUCAAAGCCAGGCUGGCAAUGGAUGUCCUGAGGGUUCCCCACAUAAGAGCCGUCAUAGCAUUCAUUAAUUGACACAUCUAUCCUGGCUCCUUUAGGGACUCUCCUCCAUCUCCUGCAUAGAGAAUUCAUACUCACCAUCCAAAAGCUGGAGACGUCUGUUAAAGAACACAAAGUCCUUUACAAACCAAACAAAAAUGACAACAGAAUGCAUUCCAACACUAAAAGAUUUCUCCAUCAUCCGGACGAGAAGAAAAUCUCUUCUUUCUGUUGGACAUCUCUUCAAUAACAUCUGAGAACAAAAUAAAUCUACCUGAAUUCCUUCUUCUGAAAAGGCCUUCUUAACACUGAUAACAUUCUAUUAUC